rnacentral:lncRNA from 1 species
GGUUUGAAGAGUAUUGAUAUGGUGGUUGAAGCGGUUGGGGAACCAAGUUUGUUGAGGAGCUUCCGGUAUAUAGCAUCGGUGAAGAGUAAACCGACCGGUAUAUUGUUGGAUCUGCGGUUUGAUAUCUGCCAAUAAUUCCAAUUAAUUACACUAGCAUUAUUUAUCAUAAAUAAGUACAUUUAGCAAUGUUUUUUUUUCAUAAUUUGAAGUCAGGAUGAAGAGAGUGUGUACCCGAAAGGUGUAAUUCCUGGUGGGGUUAAGGUAUCGUUACGGUAGACCAAUUGACGGGCUUGAUUCAAUGUCUCCGUCUCCCUCUCUUUAAGUUUAUAGACCCAAAAGAAAAAAAGGACA